AUUGAACGCUGGCGGCAGGCCUAACACAUGCAAGUCGAGCGGAUGAAGGGAGCUUGCUCCUGGAUUCAGCGGCGGACGGGUGAGUAAUGCCUAGGAAUCUGCCUGGUAGUGGGGGAUAACGUCCGGAAACGGGCGCUAAUACCGCAUACGUCCUGAGGGAGAAAGUGGGGGAUCUUCGGACCUCACGCUAUCAGAUGAGCCUAGGUCGGAUUAGCUAGUUGGUGGGGUAAAGGCCUACCAAGGCGACGAUCCGUAACUGGUCUGAGAGGAUGAUCAGUCACACUGGCACUGGGACACGGUCCAGACUCCUACGGGAGGCAGCAGUGGGGAAUAUUGGACAAUGGGCGAAAGCCUGAUCCAGCCAUGCCGCGUGUGUGAAGAAGGUCUUCGGAUUGUAAAGCACUUUAAGUUGGGAGGAAGGGCAGUAAGUUAAUACCUUGCUGUUUUGACGUUACCAACAGAAUAAGCACCGGCUAACUUCGUG
rnacentral:rRNA from 1 species